rnacentral:rRNA from 1 species
AUUGAACGCUGGCGGCAGGCCUAACACAUGCAAGUCGAACGAGUGGCGGACGGGUGAGUAAUGUUUGGGAAACUGCCUGAUGGAGGGGGGAAACUACUGGAAACGGUAGCUAAUCCCCCAUACCCACGGAUGUGCCCCGAUGGGAUUAGAUUGGGGGUGGGGUAAAGGCUCACCUAGGCGACGAUCCCUAGCUGGUCAGAGAGGAUGACCAGCCAAACUGGAACUGAGACACGGUCCAGACUCCUACGGGAGGCAGCAGUGGGGAAUAUUGCACAAUGGGCGCAAGCCUGAUGCAGCCAUGCCGCGUGUAUGAAGAAGGCCUUCGGGUUGUAAAGUACUUUCAGCGGGGAGGCGUUACCCGCAGAAGAAGCACCGGCUAACUCCGUGCCAGCAGCCGCGGUAAUUC